rnacentral:misc_RNA from 1 species
GAUGAAGAACGCAGCGAAAUGCGAUAAGUAAUGUGAAUUGCAGAAUUCAGUGAAUCAUCGAAUCUUUGAACGCACCUUGCGCCUUUUGGUAUUCCGAAAGGCACACCUGUUUGAGCGUCAUGAAUACCUCAAUCUCCAUCUUUUCUUCGGAUUGAUGGGUGACUUGGAUGUUGAGCCCUGCUGGUAUGCUAUAUCAGCUGGCUUUAAACUUAUUAGCCGGCUCUGUACUGGAUCGGUUUGACUCGACGUGAUAAUAUUAUCGUUGAGGAUGCAUGUCUCAUGCAGCCCGGAAGUAUCAAAGCAGCUUCUAGCUUGCCUUUAGUGCACUUUUACAUUUUAGACCUCAGAUCAGGUGGGACUACCCGCUGAACUUAAGCAUAUCAAUAAGCGGAGGA